AACGAACGCUGGCGGCAGGCUUAACACAUGCAAGUCGAACGAGAUCUUCGGAUCUAGUGGCAGACGGGUGAGGAACACGUGGGAACAUCCCUUUCAGUUCGGAAUAACGUUGGGAAACUAACGCUAAUACCGGAUACGUCCUUCGGGAGAAAGAUUUAUCGCUGAAAGAUUGGCCCGCGUCUGAUUAGCUAGUUGGUGAGGUAAUGGCUCACCAAGGCUACGAUCAGUAGCUGAUCUGAGAGGAUGAUCAGCCACAUUGGGACUGGGACACGGGCCAAACUCAUACGGGAGGCAGCAGUGGGGAAUAUUGGACAAUGGGCGCAAGCCUGAUCCAGCCAUGCCGCGUGAGUGAUGACGGCCUUCGGGUUGUAAAGCUCUUUUGUCCGGGAAGAUAAUGACUGUACCGGAAGAAUAAGCCCCGGCAAACUUCGUGCCAGCCGCCGCGGUAAGAC
rnacentral:rRNA from 1 species